AGGCAGAUUGGGGCACAGGGCUGACACUACAGGGAACCCAUAGUGGAGAACUGCCAGUGAGCAGUUGGGAGCCCUUGUUGAGGUGCUGCUCCUCAAACACGGCAGGACGAUCCUAGUUGAGUGAAUAAGAGCGCCGUCCACGUGACUGGAUGGGUGCUGCUAUGACAGUGGAUUGGAUGUUGAUACUGUGAUGCGCAGUUUGUGCUGAAGAGACUUGCUGACAGUGCCAUUGACCUGUACGCCAUGGUGGUCGUCCUGUUUUGGUAUAAAGUAGUACACUGCUACACACAUACUCAAUCUCUGUCUCUGUACCUCACAUGUUCAUCAUCACACUGUGUGUGUUUGGUAGACUUUGGUAGACUUUAAC